rnacentral:rRNA from 1 species
GUCGGCGGGGUAACGGCCCACCGAGCCUACGACGGGUAGCCGGCCUGAGAGGGCGACCGGCCACAUUGGGACUGAGAUACGGCCCAGACUCCUACGGGAGGCAGCAGUGGGGAAUAUUGCACAAUGGGCGCAAGCCUGAUGCAGCGACGCCGCGUGCGGGAUGACGGCCUUCGGGUUGUAAACCGCUUUUGAUCGGGAGCAAGCCUUCGGGUGAGUGUACCUUUCGAAUAAGCACCGGCUAACUACGUGCCAGCAGCCGCGGUAAUACGUAGGGUGCAAGCGUUAUCCGGAAUUAUUGGGCGUAAAGGG